rnacentral:rRNA from 1 species
UACAGAGGUGGCAAGCGUUGUUCGGAAUUACUGGGCGUAAAGGGCGCGUAGGCGGCCUUCUAAGUCAGACGUGAAAUCCCCCGGCUUAACCUGGGAACUGCGUCUGAUACUGGAAGGCUUGAGCGCGGGAGAGGGAUGUGGAAUUCCAGGUGUAGCGGUGAAAUGCGUAGAUAUCUGGAGGAACACCGAUGGCGAAGGCAGCCCCCUGGGUCAACACUGACGCUCAUGCACGAAAGCGUGGGGAGCAAACAGG